GGCAGUGUGGUGUAUUGGUUUGAGUGUGAGACUAGGAUUCUGGGAGGCCGGGGUUCAAAUCCCCAUUCAGCCA